CAAGCAAGCCAAGGACCAUAUGUUUUUUUGUGUUACACUUUCAGCAUCUAAGCUUAUUAUAUUCAACACAAGGAGAAAGUCCCCGGAAAACAAAAUAUCUUCUGUCCAAUGAUUAAAGAUUAGGGCAGUGGGGUAUUUAGUAAAGCAACUUUGUUUGUUUGUUUUUUUCAUAAUAAAAGUAUAUGGUCACCCUAUAAUAAUGGGGCAACUUAAUGGGGCUUACUCUGGCUUGUUU
rnacentral:RNase_MRP_RNA from 1 species